UACGUGGGGUGCAAGCGUUAAUCGGAUUUACUGGGCGUAAAGGGUGCGUAGGUGGGGAGGUAAGUUAGGUGUGAAAUUCCGGGGCUUAACCCCGGAGCUGCAACUAAUACUGCUUCUCUAGAGGAUAGGAAGGGAAAGGGGAAUUCCGCAUGUAGCGGUGAAAUGCGUAGAUAUGCGGAGGAACACCGGUGGCGAAAGCGCCUUUCUGGCCUAUUCCUGACACUGAGGCACGAAAGCAAGGGGAGCAAACAGG
rnacentral:rRNA from 1 species